UACCUCUUUUUGUCAAUUCAUAAAGUCA
rnacentral:sRNA from 1 species